rnacentral:rRNA from 1 species
GAUGAACGCUAGCGGCAGGCUUAAUACAUGCAAGUCGAGGGGCAGCAUGAUUGUAGCAAUACAAUUGAUGGCGACCGGCAAACGGGUGCGGAACACGUACACAACCUUCCAACAAGUGGGGGAUAGCCCAGAGAAAUUUGGAUUAAUACCCCGUAACAUAGCGAUGUGGCAUCACAUUGCUAUUAUAGAUUUUUCGCUUGUUGAUGGGUGUGCGGCUGAUUAGAUAGUUGGCGGGGUAACGGCCCACCAAGUCUACGAUCAGUAGCUGAUGUGAGAGCAUGAUCGGCCACACAGGCAAUGAGCAGCGGGCCCGACUCCAAGGGGAGGCAGCAGUAAGGAAUAUUGGACAAUGGACGCAAGUCUGAUCCAGCCAUGCCGCGUGAAGGAUUAAGGUCCUCUGGAUUGUAAACUUCUUUUAUAAGGGACGAAAAAAGGCUUUUCUAAGUCGUCUGACGGUACCUUAUGAAUAAGCACCGGCUAACUCCGUGCCAGCCGCCGCCGUAAUAC